rnacentral:rRNA from 1 species
GGCUACAGAACACGCUGGCGGCAUGCCUAACACAUGCAAGUCGAACGAGACCUUCGGGUCUAGUGGCGCACGGGUGCGUAACGCGUGGGAAUCUGCCCUUAGGUUCGGAAUAACUUCGGGAAACUGAAGCUAAUACCGGAUGAUGACGUAAGUCCAAAGAUUUAUCGCCUAAGGAUGAGCCCGCGUUGGAUUAGCUAGUUGGUGAGGUAAAGGCUCACCAAGGCGACGAUCCAUAGCUGGUCUGAGAGGAUGAUCAGCCACACUGGGACUGAGACACGGCCCAGACUCCUACGGGAGGCAGCAGUGGGAAUAUUGGACAAUGGCGAAAGCCUGAUCCAGCAAUGCCGCGUGAGUGAUGAAGGCCUUAGGGUUGUAAAGCUCUUUACCCGGGAUGAUAAUGACAGUACCGGGAGAAUAAGCUCCGGCUAACUCCGUG